UCUUGGAAAUAAAAAGAAAAUUUCUACCAGAGUACUACGAAUAAUAUUAAAUUUAAAACUCAAAGAGCUUGGCGGUGCUUCAGACCUUUCAGGGGAACUUGUCUCUUAAUCGAUAAUCCACGCUUGACCUAACCUUUUUUUGCAAUCAGUUUGUAUACCGUCGUCGUCAGGUAACUUUUAAAAAGUCAUAAGUUAGCAAAAGAAUUCAAAUAAAUUUAAACGUCAGAUCAAGGUGCAAUUUAUAUAAAGGGUGAGAUGAGUUACAAUUAUAUACUAAUAAUACGAAAAAUAGGUUGAAACAUCACUUUAAAGGAGGACUUGAAAGUAAGAAUAUUUAUAAAUAUAUUUCGAAUCAGGCUCUGAAGCGUGC
rnacentral:rRNA from 1 species